rnacentral:rRNA from 1 species
UACGAGGGGGGCAAAUGUUGUUCGGAAUCACUGGGCGUAAAGGGAGCGUAGGCGGGUUCUUAAGUUAGGUGUUUAAUCCCGGGGCCCAACCCCGGACCGGCACUUAAAACUGGGAAUCUUGAAUAGUGGAGAGGUCGGUGGAAUUGGAGGUGUAGCGGUGGAAUGCGUAGAGAUCUCCAAGAACACCAGUUGCGAAGGCGGCCGACUGG